ensembl:lncRNA
UAAAGAGACUUGCUAAAUCGCUAGUACAGAGAUACUAAGGUGAAGAGAUUUCCGUAAGCUUUGCGAUAUGCAAUGACUUACACAAAAUGUGUCAGCUCUUCAACAAAUUAACAUGUUUUGUACUCCUUCACAUUAAAUAAGAUAUCCCCAAGACAAAAACGUUUGUCAGCAAAGCAUAUCAGACGAUAUAGGUAGGAUUUGCGGUCAUUUUAAGAACAUUUUUAAAGACCAGGCAUCUGGGGCUCGGCUUUUGUUCAGACAUAUCUUUGUGAUGCAUGACCCAGGUCACCUUUGAUUGGACAAGCCAUCCAAGUGUCCACAAAAAUCCAAAUUAUACCACCUACAUAUCAUAUUUAAUUUUGUACCGGCAUAUAAAACUUGCAGGAUAAGCCAGGAUGGGGUCCAAACUCAUUACUACAUUAAGUGAAGUGCCAAGACUUCGUCCUCCAAGGUCUGAACAUAAAGCUUUAUUAGCAUGAAAUUGUAUUAUAUUGUGGCUAUAAAAAGAUCAGUAUAAAAAAGUGUUUUAUUGCUUUUUAAUGCUUCACGGGUUGCUGGAUAAAGGCAUUUUUAAACAAGCAAAAGUUUUUUUGUGGCUGAUGACUCUGUUCGUGACCUGAUGUACAGUGCUUGUAUUGGAUGUGAGGUUGUGAAACAGAGUGUCGACUCAGAUUUGAAACAGAACAGCAGACCACCAAGGAUACAACACACCUUUUUCAGUCUCUGAUUAUGUCCCGCUUCAGUAUGGCCCUCUGCGGAAAAACAGGAUAAAAGCUGAACACAGGAACUCCGUUUUCCAAGGAUGCUGUUGGGAAUUGGCCCACACAGUUGUCCAAAUGCAUUGCCUUUCCUGUAACACACAUUAUUACACUGGAACAUGAGGAUCCCUAAAUGAUUUUGACUUCUUGGAUAACAUUCAUUGAAACAGUCCCAUGUAUUUUGCGCUGUCUUGAAAAGCCUGGUGUCAUGCAUACUGUGUAGGAUUCUUGCUGCUUCAAACCACUACAACUGACCUUAUAAUGGACCUAUGGCCAUUGCAGAAAACCCAAGGACAAGGACUCUUUUAUGCUGAAAUAAAACUGUGCCAAAACACACCAAACUAUAUUUAAGGACUACAUGCUUCUUAAUAAUAUUCAGACAUGAAUGUUUUCUCCGGUAUGUCAAAAAAAUAGACAAAUCCCUAUUUUAGUAAAGAAGAAAGACUCAUUUGCUUUAUGGUCAUUGUUUAGUGAAGUAGUUUGUUUUGGCUCUACCUAUAACCCAUUGUUUGUAUUUAUUUUUUAUUUUUUUUUUUGAAAUAGAGACUUUUCCCAUAAUGGCAAUGUUUCUUAAAAUUUCUUUUUCGUGCUGAUACUUGAAGGAGUGCUGUUUAUCUGGCCUACAACAUCCUCCUCUUUUCGCUGCAAGGGCAGUCUGUGUGAGAAUUGUCUGAAUAAAGAUUACUGGAAAAGAACCCAAAAACCUUUCCCAGCCCCGACUCAU